CAGUAGCCGCGGUAAUACCAGCAGCCCAAGUGGUGGUCGCGAUUAUUGGGCCUAAAGCGCUCGUAGCCGGGCCGGUAAGUCCCUUGUGAAAUCGGACGGCCUAACCGUUCGGCGUGCAAGGGAUACUGUCGGUCUUGAGGCCGGGAGACGUCCGAGGUACUCCGGGGGUAGCGGUGAAAUGUUCUGAUCCUCGGGGGACCACCGGUGGCGAAGGCGUUCGACGAGAACGGGCCUGACGGUGAGGGGCGAAGGCUAGGGGAGCAAACGGGAUUAGAUACCCCCGUAGUCCCUGUCUCUUAUC
rnacentral:rRNA from 1 species